CCUUUUUCCAUCCCUACCUUCCUUCUCAGACUUUCCCCGCCUGGAGCGAGAAGGGCCUGCAGAUACUUGCUGGCAACUCGUGCCUCUGCUUUCCUAUAGAAAGCCAGUCUUGGAGAAAUACUGGUGACGUCUCAUGGAACAGAGGAGCACACUUUUGGAAAUGCUGGGUGAGGGCAUUUUCUGCUUCUAACCAGGAUGGCAUGAGGUUGGAAAACCACACCAGAUGAAGGUCCCCACAGGAUCCAGAACGGGGAUGGGCUCUCGGGAAGUCCCACUCCACAGAGGCGAGUGGGGAUUACCACCUGGACCCAGAAAAGAUGUGAGAAACAUCAGGUAAGUCCAGGCCUCUCUGUGUGCCCUGGAGUGGGUAAAGGAAAAUAGUGAUGAAAUGGUGUCAACCACAGAC